rnacentral:rRNA from 1 species
GACGAACGCUGGCGGCGUGCUUAACACAUGCAAGUCGAGCGGUAAGGCCCUUUCGGGGGUACGACGAGCGGCGAACGGGUGAGUAACACGUGGGUGACCUGCCCUCAGCUCGUGGGAUAACGCCGUAGGGAAACGGGUCUAAUACCGGAUAUGACUCCAGUGACGCAUGUUGUGGGGGUGGAAAGCCUUGUGCGGCUGAGGAUGGGCCCGCGGCCUAUCAGCUUGUUGGUGGGGUGAUGGCCUACCAAGGCGACGACGGGUAGCCGGCCUGAGAGGGCGACCGGCCACACUGGGACUGAGACACGGCCCAGACUCCUACGGGAGGCA